CCUACGGGGGGCAGCAGUGAGGAAUAUUGGUCAAUGGACGAGAGUCUGAACCAGCCAAGUAGCGUGAAGGAUGACUGCCCUAUGGGUUGUAAACUUCUUUUAUAUGGGAAUAAAAUGUUCCACGUGUGGGAUUUUGUAUGUACCAUAUGAAUAAGGAUCGGCUAACUCCGUGCCAGCAGCCGCGGUAAUACGGAGGAUCCGAGCGUUAUCCGGAUUUAUUGGGUUUAAAGGGAGCGUAGGUGGAUUGUUAAGUCAGUUGUGAAAGUUUGCGGCUCAACCGUAAAAUUGCAGUUGAAACUGGCAGUCUUGAGUACAGUGGAGGUAGGCGGAAUUCGUGGUGUAGCGGUGAAAUGCUUAGAUAUCACGAAGAACUCCGAUUGCGAAGGCAGUUCACUGGACUGCAACUGACACUGAGGCUCGAAAGUGUGGGUAUCAAACAGGAUUAGAUACCCUAGUAGUC
rnacentral:rRNA from 1 species